rfam:Camelus ferus unplaced genomic scaffold scaffold155, whole genome shotgun sequence.
GAGGGUAUAGCUCAGUGGUGGAAUGCAUGCUUAGCAUGCACGAGGUCCUGGGUUCAAUCCCUAGUACCUCUU